AUGGGAGCAAGGACUAAUUGAACUAUCUCAAUUAACAUAACAAUAAAUGUAACAUAAAUAUUGUCUACAUCAUUCAAAAGAAAAGGUAGUUUUUUCAAAAGUAUUAACAUUUGCCCAGAAGACCGUUUCAAUCUGUUGGAAGGGUCUGCCAAAGUGCUGACUCUAACAGGAGACGGCUUAUCCCGUAUAACAAGAGGUGAGUAAGGGAAAUUUUGAAUGGCUGAAUUAAACUCAUCUAAUUCUAUCUGUCCUGACAGAAUAAGGUGUUUUAAUACAAGCUCAACUUCCUAUUAAUCCUAACCAAGACGUCCACAAUACAUUACAUUACAUUCAUUUAGCAGACGCUUUUGUCCAAAGCAACUUACAACAAGUGACAUGCAGUACAUGGCCUCCUGCAGCGGACGUGCGAAUCGAACCCACGGCUGCUGCAGGAGGACUCAAUCGUCCAGUGGGGCACCGGUGCUACCAACUGAGCUAACCUACGCCAAUAUACACUACACUAACACUUUGAUUGGGAUUACCAUUAUAAACAAAUAUUGACCCAUCAGGACAAGCUUACCUGGGACAAGGUAAUCCCGGACACUGAUUGCAAAAGCUGAUACAGAUUUGGCAAUAUCAGGUCUGGCUGUGGAUGUUACUGCAACAGCUUCUUCCUUCAGAUAAUAAUAACAACAAAAAAAAACACUUUUUUUUCAUAUCCGGAUGCCACCUGACAAUAAUGAUUGUUUGAUUAAAAAAAAACCCUGUUUUUUCAUCAUAUUAUUCAAAAUAAAUUUUUUGGAAUCUUUUAAUAGACAUCAAUGCUAUUUGCAAAGACUAGACAAAGAAACAUACCCAAAGAGAUGCAGGUGUAAAGUUGUGCUGUCAGUUCAUUCAUUUUAUUAAUGAAUAAUCACAGUAACGGUUGUAAUUUAUCACGAUUAAUUAAUUAACCUGCGAUGUUUCUGGUCGAGAGGCAUCAGGCGAUAUUUCCACAGUGCUGGUCGUUGCAGGAGUGCUACAGUUGGAAAAAAUUGAUACACCAAAAUUUUCCAAUCCCCAUGAGUGUGCUGUGGGCGUCGUUCUCCAUCCACCUGGUGGGCAUCCAGUCGUCAAAUAGAGAGGGUGCGUCCGUUUAAUGUGGCGAAAGAAUGCGUUGAAAACUCUGAAGUCUUGUUCACAACCAUCAUUUCCACAGUAAACCCAAAAAUCCAGACUACGAACAUGACUUGCAUUUAUGUGGCUAAGGAGCACCUUCAGACUUAAAGAAACAAAGACGAAACAGAUCAUACAUCUCCACGCAGCCACGAUGCACCGUUUGCACACUGUCGCCGUUUGAAAUGAUCUGCGCAUGUGCAUCGUCAGUUCAUGGCCAUCACAUCUCGAUGACAUCAGUCAUUUACUUUGAACCGAUUUCGUGCUCGAUAACGGAGGCACGUAUCUGUGAUGUGAACUGAGCGGACAACAGUUCAAGGUACUGCGUGUUAAGGGUCUCGGCAAGCUGGAGAACUCUGUUAAGUCGGCAUGGAAGAUUUUGACGACACCAUACUGUCGGUGUUGGAGGAUGACCGCCUACAACCGAGUCCAGUUCGGCCAGAGAUUUCUUCCUGUUAAGAGUUUUUUUCUCUCCACAGUAGCCAAGUGCUUGCUCAUUGUGGGAUUUGUUGGGUUUUCCCUGUAAUACUGUAAUAUUGACCUCACUAUGUAAAGUGCCUUGAGACAAUGUAUGCAGUGAUUUGGCGCUAUACAAAUACAAUUGAAUUGAAUUAAUGAACCUGCUUUCUCCCUGCCUGAGCACACUCCUCUCGUUCACCACACAUUGGGACGCGUGACCACAAACGGAGUCGGGGCUACAGCUAGAGAUACAGAGUUACAGCUAGCAGAUGAGUUACUACACAGAAUUAAAGAAGAAAUGAGUUGCAGAACAGCCUAGAAAGUGCCUAUAACAGCUUCCGGUUGCAACAGAAAGACAUCAUCUUAGAUGGCUACAGACAAAAAAAAAGGGUUGGAUGCAACAAAAGUAAUCAGAGGAAACAUCAGUGUGGCUCUUAAACGGCUGCACUGAAAAAAAAAAAAGUUGAGAAAACGCAAAUUUUUAAGGCAACAUGAUGCAACCAGAUUUUUGCGUUCAACAAACUCAUAUAUUCCUGUUGAAACUUUGACUACUUUUGUUAACUUAACUAAGAUUUCCAGGUUUAGAUAUGAGUUAUGCCAACUCGAUCUUGUUCACCUAAUUUUGAUAUUUACGUCGGGUCAACAAUAAAAUUCAUGCUUAAAUUCCAUGUAUUUUUACCUUCAACAAACUCGGAUAUUCUUGUUACUUCGGUGAGAAAACUUCCCUUAUAAAUCAAGUAACAUUUAUGUUGCUGUAAUUGUAUUUAAGAAAUGCUAAAUGAAUGAAUAAAAUAAAGAGCACACAUCAAAA